ACCACGGGGUCCAGUAGGAAGCUCAGGCACUGACAGUGUGGCCGGGAUCGAGGCAGCCUGGACUCUGGCUGGCCAGGCCAUUCUCCUCAUCUGAGAGUCCCCGCCCCCGCCCCCAGUCUGAGCCACCGUGGGGCUGAGGAGCUGUGUGGACGGCUGCCAGGCCCAGCCGCCAGUGCCGUGCAGGAGCAGAGCUGGGGCUGCUGCUGUUCUCGAACCAGGCCCUGGGCGGCGGUGCAGCCCAGGACUCGGGGGCUGGUGAGGUGGGCUCCUCCCAGCUUUCGCUGGGUGCGAGCUGGGGAGUCCUCGUCUGUGGAGCUGGGUCUGGUAACACCAUAGCAUGUCAGGGGUGGGGGAUUUUGACGUCGGAGAAGCUCCAGUAGGAAAGGGAAUAACCACCUGUGGGAAACAACAGGUGAAGUUUAAGGAAAUCGAAACAGGUUUGAAACCACGAUGCUACGAGGGUCCGCGGGCAGAGCCUGUCUUUGAGAGUCAUCUCUGUGUCCUCCAUUCGUGGGCAAAGGGGGACAAGCGCCAGGCGGGCCCCGAGACGAUGGCCUGUCUGUUCACACAGGAGGUCUGGCGCGGGGAGCGGGGCACAUCGUGGGUUCGUGCUCCUGGAGCCUUCCUGCUCAGGAGGCCCUCUAAAUAGGACAGAGGGACACACUGUCAGAUAACUUGGUUCCAUAAGAAGGAAUUUACACGUGUUCAUCUCAAAGUUUGGCAGUAGGAGGAGUUUGCAGCAAAGACACUGAUUUAUAAGGAGGUGACGCAGGUUACAAGUGAUGAUGUUUAUUAUUAAAAGGAGCAAGGUUUUUUUUCAGUCUUAACAGCCUGCCUCCCUUGCUUUCAGGUAGUGAAAUAUAUAGUAAUGGUGUGAUUUGAACAGUUACAUUCCUCAGAGAAAACUUUUAUAUUCCGAGCUGUUUUUCCAGCUAAAAGAAAAGCAAAAAAGGCCAUUUCAGCUGCUUCAUCAUAGGAAAAAACCAGACAUAGCUGCGUUGCCUUUUGUUGUUGCACAAGACGAUCGGCUGUGGCAACAGACGGUUUGCAUGCACCAGGACGAGGAUGCAGAAGAGGACAUGCAGGUUGAGAGCGACGUGUCAGAGUCCACAGGAGGCCCCGACAUCCAGGCUGAGGGCUCCCCCAAUGAGCUGCAGCCAGAAUUACAAGACACACCCCAGCACGGACGGACGGACGGACGACUCAGAGCUGCGAGGAGCAGGCAGGUUUAUUUGGUUCACUCCAGGGCUGGCAACCACGCAGUAGUAAAAAAGAGGAACGCAAAGUAAGAUGUACAAAAAGAUGUCGUGCCCCUUUAGAAAGUAACAUAGUCAGAAGUGCACUUCCUGCGGAUCCUCCCUCCCUCUCCUGUGUCCCCACUCCCCCAAAAAAGACCCCCACACGAAACCAAACUGUGAAAAGGAACCGGGGUGGUGGUGGUGGUGUGUGAAUGUGUAACACAAAAAAAACGGGAUUUAACUGGAACAUGCUCUAAUCUUUAGUUUAUUUCUGGUUAAAAAUAUAGCAAUCCAGUGCAGUGUAGUAAAGAAAUCUGCUUGAAAGGUAGCAGAGAAACAGCUGAACAUAAGCAAAGCAAGGCAGAGUCCACGGACGGCCGUGCCCAGGACGGUGUGGGGCUCACGUUCAAGACCUUCCCAGGCGUGAGUGCAUGGGGCCUCGUGUGGGUGGGACGAGGGUGCUGGUAAAGAGGGCAAAGACCGGGAACCUGGGUCUGUUGGAUUGAAAUGUUACGUCGCAUAUUUUGGAGGAGACGGAUAUGUAAUGAUUUUUCAGGAAUUUUUAAGCCCCUGGGUUUCAACCACACUCUUGUCCUGGGACCAGACUGGCUCCAGGGUGUGAAUGAGGCAUCUGUCGGGAAGUGAGGGCAGGCCCUGGACAGAAAUGGGAAAACCCGUGGGCUAGUGACAGUGGAAGCCGUCACACCUGCUGGCGUGACAGGGACACGGGAGCCUGCGCACGCAUCCUAAGUGCAGAGGUGCCCCGUGCGCGGAGCCCCCCCGGUGGCAGCCCGUUGCCCACAGCGCAGCUGCCCCCAGGGUGGGAGGGCGGGGGGGGGACAGCGGGAAGAGUCAGGCCUUGGCUUUAAGACCCGCGUGGGGAGCCGGCCUCACGAGGAGGGCUGUGGGGCGGUGCGGGGAGAGGGCAGGGUUGGGAUCCGUUUCCUGGGGCCAAGGGAAAGCAGGUCUCUGCUUCCCUUAGCGUGCAGCACAGAUUGGAGAGAGAAGGCCCCGGCUCUGCCCUCCCCGCCCUCACACCCGCCCCUGUCACCUGCUCCUCCAGAGCUGAGGACAAGCAGAGUUUCCGACCCCCCGCCCGCUGCCCGCGCCUGGCCCAGCCAGACCCCGAGGGUCUGCCUACGGCUCCCCAUCCCAGAGGGGAGUGUGAUGACGGGGAAGGCCAUUAUGUGUUUUUGCCGACGGUUUGCCAGGACCCCUUUUCCUUCCACGUCAAGCUGGAGGGUCGGCGUGCGGGCCUCUUUGCCACGCCACACAGCAUAGUGUUAUACAAGCAGAGUUUUGGCUAAAAUCCAAAAAACAUUACCCAGAAAAAAAGGCAAACUGUGAGUAAUACCCAGUCACGUGGUUCUGUGAAGACUCGGAAGUAGCCGUCGGCCGUCCGAGCUCCGAGCUUCCUGUCCGCUGUCUUGCUUUUAACAUCCCCGUUUAUACCCCAGCUGUUUCUGCCAACGCGACAGCCUCGUCAGAUGAAAAAGUUAAUAAACAAAAUGGCGACUCCGAUGUUCAGCAAGAUCACCAUGGCGACCAGGAUGGGUGCAGAGCCCUGGAACAGGAGAGGAGGCCUGCCUCUGCAUCGCCCUCCAGGAUCCAGGGCAUUCCUCGAAGUUGGGAGGAAGAAACUGCUUACCAGGAGACCCUCCCCCGAGCAGAGGAGGACCCGCUGGGGCAGCCAGGAGGCCUGUGGGGAAACUGGGGCCCAGUGCUGCCCUGCUGCUUUCAGGGGCUUCCAGAACCAUUCAGGUACUUCUGCUAAAAUGAUCACGACUCAGGCACCUGUCACGCAGUGUGGCCCCCACCACCCUGGCUUCCUACAGUGAGGAUCCGGGGGCCUCGGUGGCCUGGCUCGGCCUGGCUCGCACCCUGGGACUGCAGGCGCACUCACCGUGCUAGCCUUGAGCUCGUCCCCGGUCUCCUCGUCCGACUCCAGCGCGGCGGGCGAGGACCUCUGGGGCGGGGAGAAGGUCAGGUCCCAGCGCAGCAGCCGGGGCUCGGGCCUGUCCCCCAGCCGCAGGCUCUCCAGCCUCUGCACCGCGGGCUCCGUGCACGAGGCCGGCCGGGCAUACUCCCUGCUCUGGGCCUUGGGCCGCAGUCUCUCGGCGCGGGGGGUCCUCCCCGGGGCCCCGGCCGGCACCCCCCUUGCUGUAGCGUCUCUUCGGGGGGGUGCGGCUCCUGUGCGUAUGAGUCCAUCCGCAGCAGGGGCUUCAUCUCCAGCUCGUAGGUGCUCAGCUUCUCCUCGUCCAGCUCCAGCAGCUUGGUGCCCGCAGGGCCGGGGUUGCCGACCCGGGGGUGGGAGUCCAGGAGAAGGUGGGGGGGGACUCCGUCCGCCGCUCCCGGGCUCUGGGGGUUGCUGGGCUGCUUGUGGCCUGAGCCCCGGGUGCGGAAGUCGUCAGCGGGCUGGCCGCCGCGGGGGGCACCACUCCGGACGCCCCUGGAGCCCCCAGCCCUCUCCUCGCCCCAGCUGUUCCGGGCGUAGUCCCCUCCCCGGCCCUCCAGGAGCAUCUGGAUGUCCCCGCCUCGCUCCUCGUCCACCGAGACCUGCCGGGAGAAGUGGGUGACCUUGUUCCUGGAGGCGAGGGCCGGGGGCGGGGUGGCCGUGGGGCUGGCAGGGAAGCUCUGCAGGGGGCUGUCGUCGGGGGUCAGGUCCGAGGGGGUGGUGCCUUUGCGGUACAGCUCAGGGCUCUCCUGCUGCAGGGGCGUACCCGUGGAGAUCACCUCGAUGUCGUCGCUGGAAAGCUGAUGCUUCGGCCGCUGGUACUCGAGCCCUUGGUGAGGGAGACGGGAGGCACAGAAGCUGGUUACAGGGAAGGUGCCCCCAGAGCCCCCUCCUGGGCACUCAGAGGAUGACCGGAGCCUGACGGGCGUGGCGGACAGAGGCUCUGGCCUGGCCCUGCUCUGCGGGCUCUCAGGCCCCAACCCCACGGGUCUCUCCUGACAAUAAAGGAAGCAGCUCGUGCUUGGCGACCUUGUGUGGGGUGUUAUGGCCAGGGAGGCCCGAGCCUUCUGGAGACAGGGCUCGGCAGGCGUUGGGAUCCUCUCCCAUCUUCCAUCUGGAGCCUUGGCUAGGGGAAGGGGUGGAGUCAGGCCCCUCCCUUUAAAGACAUCCCAGGUGCUACUGGUGGCACACAAAGCAGCUUGAGGCCCCCUCCUCUCCUCUGGGUUAUGAGACGUGGCAGCGAGGAGGAGGCAGAGCUGCUGGUGCCCCUGAACAGGCUUCGGAGACCUGUAAGUGCUGAGGAGUGGGACACGCGGGGCUCAGGGCAGCGGUCAGCCUUGAGGUCGCUGGAGGCGUGGCCCCCUUUCAAGCACUGGCCCCCACGGUCACUCCCCUUUCCUGACAGAUUGGGACUUCCUUGGGGUUGGACUCCCAGGCCUUAGACCCUGAGAACAUGGGCGAGCCUGGACACCAAGCCGUGUGGGGGCCUGUGGCCUUCCAGAAGGCCGUCUGUCCACUGACAGCCCUAGGGUCAGCCCUGACUAACCCUCGGACCCCAUACGCCAGAGGGAGGCCAUGCCCUCCUGCUCAGCGCUGGUGCCCUGACAGCACCACCAGCCAGGAGAGGGCUCAGCUAAAAUCAGCUCCAGGAAAGCAGGGAGUGGAGCCGAGGGGUGGGGGCUGAAUGCUAACACCCCUUCCCCUGUCUUGGGUCGUGAGGUUCCCAGGGCCUCUCAGGACCUCCUGGCUGCCAGGACCCCUACCAGCCAGGCCAGGUGCUCUGGGCUCUGGGAGGAGAGCUGGGGUGUGGUCUUGGAACAGAGUCCACCCCCAAACGUUGAAAGGCUUCCACUAGCUCUGGGGAGCGUGGGUCUGAGGGAAGCGCAAUCCUGACCCGAGUUGGGUGGCCAGCCCGGCUGCAAGGACCUAGGCCUCAGCUGGCCUCCCUGCCCCCGUCAGGCCUGUCCCAGAGCUGUGCCAACCAAGACGGCUGCCACCAGUCACGCAUGGCUGCUGAUGCUGAAGUGCAGAUCAGCUGGUAUCGCCAACCCCGAGCAGGUGCAGGAGGCAGGCCCAGGCAUCUGGGAAGCUCCUCCACGUUGGUGCAAGCCGUGGCCUCCAGGCGCUGAAAGAAGGCAAG